rnacentral:rRNA from 1 species
UACGUAGGCAGCGAGCGUUGUUCGGAGUUACUGGGCGUAAAGGGUGUGUAGGCGGUUGUUUAAGUUUGGGGUGAAAUCUCCCGGCUCAACUGGGAGGGUGCGCCGAAUACUGAAUGACUCGAGUGCGGGAGAGGAGAGUGGAAUUCCUGGUGUAGCGGUGAAAUGCGUAGAUAUCAGGAGGAACACCGGUGGUGUAGACGGCUCUCUGGACCGUAACUGACGCUGAGGCACGAAAGCGUGGGUAGCAAACAGG